AUUGAACGCUGGCGGCAGGCCUAACACAUGCAAGUCGAGCGGAGCGGCUGACGGGUGAGUAAUUCCUAGGACUCUGCCUGGUCGUGGGGGAUAACGUCCGGAAACGGGCGCUAAUCCCGCAUCCUAUCAGAUUCGCCUAGGUCGGAGUAGCUAGUUGGUGGGGUAAAGGCCUACCAAGGCGACGAUCCGUAACUGGUCUGAGAGGAUGAUCAGUCACACGUGAACUGAGACACGGUCCAGACUCCUACGGGGGGCAGCAGUGGGGAAUAGUGGAAAAUGGGCGAAAGCCUGAUGCAGCCAUGCCGCGUGUGUGAAGAAGGUCUUCGGAUUGUAAAGCACUUUAAGUUGGGAGGCGUUACCAACAGAAUAAGCACCGGCUAACUUCGUGCCAGCAGCCGCGGUAAUAC
rnacentral:rRNA from 1 species